rnacentral:tRNA from 1 species
GGCGAGAUAGUUUAAUUGACUAAAAACACGUCUCAUGACGGACGCAGGUUUGAAUCCUGCACUUGCCA